GUGACUACUCCAUGCAAUCUCCUUGUGAUGGUGGCAUUGGCCGUGGCGUUGACCUCGUGGGUACUCACGGCGCACAUCGCCCGGGCCUCCUCCCGUGGGCCGAAACCGUGAUCUUUCAGGCCCUGUAAGAUUUUCUAAGUAUGCAGUAAUCCACCAAUUGUUUGAGAUGAUGAGGAAUUUGAUCAGAAAUGGCAGCGAUGAAAAGGGCGUGCCGGUUUUGGAUCCAUACGAAAACGAUAUAAAGGCCACUAUCGAAGAAAAACAUUUCAGGCUCCACAUAAACAUGACAGAUUCCAGACUCACAGGUUUAUCUGACUUUUACGUGAUAAAGUCAGAUUUUGAUGAAACAGAGGUAUCUAUCGAUACAAAGAUCAUAUU